GUGGUGGCUCAGUGAUAGAGGGCUUGCCUAGCAUGUGUGAGGCCCCGGGUUCAAUUCUCAGCACCACA
rnacentral:tRNA from 1 species